AUGUACAUUCCUACAACUUUAAUGCAUUGGAUCACAUAAAAAAUCUACAGUUAAGUGUGCUUGGGAUAAAGUAGUAUUGGGAUGGGUGACCUCCCAAGAAUUCCUAUAGUUUUACCUA
rnacentral:rRNA from 1 species